GCUCUCGUAGCUCAGCCGGUAGAGCAUAGUGCUUAUGUCACUAUGGUCGGGAGUUCGAUCCUUCCCGGGAGCA